rnacentral:rRNA from 1 species
UACACACCGCCCGUCACAUCAUGAAAGCCGGUCGUACCCGAAGUCGUCGCGUUAACCCGCAAGGGGGACAGACGCCGAAGGUAUGGCUGGUGAUUGGGAUG